AUGGAAGCUUAUGGCCACCAGCUUCAAUUUUCCAGCACUUGUCAUCCACAAACUGAUGGACAAACUGAAGUUGUGAAUCACACAUUGGGUAAUCUUCUGAGAUGUCUUGCUAGUGAUAGUCCUCGUCAAUGGGGCUUGGUGAUUCCACAUGCCGAGUUUGCUUACAAUAGUUCCAAGAAUCGUUCCACUCACAAGACUCCAUUUGAAAUUGUGUAUGGACGAAGUCCAAGUCAUAUAUUGGAUCGUGUUCCUAUUCCUAAUAUUGCCAAGAGUAGCAUGGAGGCGAAAGAACUCAGUAGUCAUAUUCGUGAAAUUCAAGAAAAAGUUCGAAUGAAUCUCGAAGGAGCAUAUGACAAUUACAAAAGAAAUGUUGAUGCACAUAGACGCCAUGUUGAAUCCCAAGAAGGUGAUUUGGUGAUGGCAUAUUUGAGAAAGGAAAGAUUCCCAGCUGGUACUUAUCACAAGCUGAAAAAGAAGAAGAUUGAUUCAGUUCCUACACCUCCUCAAGACAUGGACCUCUCCUCUACACCUAAGGAGACUAACUCACUGGAGGUUCUUGAUAGCAGAUCCAUUUCGACUCGUCGAGGUACUUACACACAAUAUUUAGUUCAUUGGAAGAAUUUGCCUAAGUUUGAAGCUAUAUGGAUUACUGAAAAAGAUUUGAAGGAGCUUGAUGAAGUGACAUGGGAACGAGUGGUGAUAUAUAUGCACGUCCGAGUUGGAAGAGUCAUAAAGCAAUCUCUUUGCGUAGAAGAUGACAUCGAGAAGGUCUUCAAGAAUUAUAUAUUGAGGUAUGAUCUGAAUGUUGACUUAUUGGAUGUUCAUGCACAAGUUCAACCUAAAGUAUAAUCCGUGUGGCCAGAGCAGACUCAGAGAGAUAUUCUUGAAGCAAGACAAUCUAAUCCAAGGACGAUUUUUAGCAGAAGUAACAAAGGAAGUUUUGAAAGAUCUCGAAGCCAUGAAAUACCAGAUGGCAGAGUACAGGAUUUCAGUUUAUGGGAGAAAACAAAGUGAGUGGGAUCAACUGGCUAGUUGGUUUGUUAACAAUGACAUUUACAGCGAGAAUGUAGUAUGGUUAAUACAGCUACCACGGUUAUACAAUAUCUACAAGAAGAUGGGGAUUGUUACCUCUUUCCAGAACAGUUUAGGAAAUGUUUUCAUUCCACUCUUCGAAGCCACGGUGGAUCCAAAUUCACAUCCUCAAUUACAUUUGUUCCUGAAGCAGGUGGUGGGUUUUGACGUUGUAGACGAUGAAAGUAGACCAGAAAGGCGUCCAACGAAACACAUGCCAACACAUCUGAAUGGACUAAUGAAUUCAAUCCUGCAUAUUCUUAUUAUGCUCAUUCCUGCUACGGAAACUUGCACACUCUUAAUAAGAUGAUUUUUAAGACAAUUUUCAUAUAUCCUAUGCAGGCAGGUGAUGUUGACCAUUUGGCUGCGGGAUUUCUUGUAUGCCAUAAUAUCUCACAUGGUAUCAAUCUUCGGUACUCUCCAGUUCUGCAAUACCUAUAUUACCUGGGGCAGGUGGGACUGCUUAUGUCACCCUUGAGCAAUAAUUCUCUUUUCUUGGAUUACAAGAAAAACCCGUUCCCUGUGUUCUUUCAACGCGGGCUAAAUGUGUCGAUUUCAAGCGAUGAUCCUUUGCUAAUUCAUUUGACAAAAGAAGCGCUGGUGGAAGAAUAUAGCGUUGCAGCACAGGUGUGGAAGCUCAGUGCUUAUGACCUCUGCGAGAUUGCUAUAAAUUCGGUAUAUCAUUCUGGAUUUUCACAUGCAGCAAAGACACAUUGGCUUGGUAGCAAGUAUUUCUUGAGAGGCCCUAAAGGAAAUGAUAUCCAAAAGACAAACGUUCCCAAUUUGAGGAUUGCCUUUCGAGAAACGACGUGGAAGGAGGAGAUGCAGUAUAUCUAUCACUGAGAAGCCGAGUUUCCAGAAGAAGUUGAUCCAUGAAGCAAAGGGAAAUAUGCUGCUGUAUCAUGUUCUUCUAAAUACAAGUAUAGAUUGGAAGCUUUGGCGGCAGUUACAUAGGUCUAAGCUGAAGGAGCAUAGGAAAUAUUGUGUGGAUCACCCCGUGGUGAUCGGCAAACUUGCUAAAGUAAAAGCUGAAGUUUUGGGAUCAAUUUGGUAUCAUGUGUGUUGACAUUUGAUGGUGUUCCACUACAUUAAAACACUAUUACAAAGUAAAAGCUGGAAGUUUUGGGAUUGAUGGUUUUUAGAAGUGGCUAUGAUACCACUCUUAGAAAUUGUUAUGUGCGGAAGCUUUUAAUGGUGAUGGGCUAGAACAAAGUGUUUAGGACUUUGGUAUAUAGGAGCUAGACUUGGGAGAAUGAUGUUAUUAGGACAAGGUUAUUAUGACAACUAGUUUAGGAGGAUAGAGGAGAAGGUGUAAACAGAGGAGGACUUAACUUGAAUUGCUUGCUUCUAUUUAUCACUUAUGAGUUCGUUAC